rnacentral:lncRNA from 1 species
CACUGCCACUCAUUCGUUCCUCUUUUUCCUGCAUGUGGAACCAACUACCACAUUCUCUUAAAGGUCCACAUAAUCAGAAAUUCAUGUUUGAUUUAAUGAUUAGAUAUGGCUUCACUUAACACUUAAUCAUUUAAUUGUUUGUUUGUUUUUCUUGAAUAAAUAUCUUGAAAUGAAGAUUUUAAUGUAUUUUUGGUGACCUUGUACGUUCAGUUGGCCCUGCCCCCCCCCCAAAAAAAACCCCGGCAAUGUGAUGACAUCAUGUUUCACAUGACCUGCCACUUCAUCUCAAAGAUACUUUUGCCAGGGACUUAUGUUUAUGUGCGGUGUACAUAUGUUCUGAACUCUGUGAAAUACUGAGAAUGCCAGCUCGAUGCAUUGUUUCUGGUUAUAGCAAUACAACCAAAAUGGUGUGAAUAUGCCUGUUUUCCCAAAAGAUCCAGCUGGAAGGGAAAUUUUGACAGCCUAAACGAAACUUACCAGAGGAAAAUGGCAUGGCCCAACUGCUUCAAGCAUCAUCCAUAGCAUCCAUUUUGAAGAUAAUUCAUACAUCGGCCUGUGUUCCCAGUUUGGGAUGAGUACAUUGAAGCACAUGAAAGCCGAUGUGAUCUCCACGAAUAUGAGAUAAUUCUAAUCUAAUGGAAAUCAAGAAAAAGGACAGAACAGCUGUGGAAAAGUGCGAGAAACUGAGGGCUGUCAAAUAGGCCGCAAUUACAGAGCGAGGAUGAUUACAAAGCCCGGGUGCCAGCUUGAAAAAAUGACUCACCAAUUAGCUGCCGAGUGACCACAAAUCAACAUUCGAACCCUGAGAGAAGAAUUACAAGAGUAGCCCUGAUCAGUGGGUGAUGGACUGGCAAUGAGAGGGUGUUUUGGAUGUGCACCCAUCAGCAUUCAUGUGUAACACUGGCAGGUCGCUCCUCAAGGGACAGGACAACAUGGACCGGCCAGAUGAGAGCGGCCCAGGCUGCUAUCAUGUGACAAGUUCUGAUUGCCACGGGCCUUUUAACCCACCUGGCCAGGUCUUGGGCGAAGGCAAAAAAGACCCAAUAAGAGUGGUGUCUUUGUCACAGAUGUGGCAAGGAGAGGAGUCGAUCUUCACAAGAGGUCUCAUUGCCAGGGAUCAGAGCGAUGCCUUCAUUGUCUCAGCAGCUUCACAAGGGAAAUGA